CUUGGCCAGGCAGGGCUUCAGUGCCUUCAAGAGCCAUUGCUGACCAGUGCAAGGGAAUAUUUCUCCCCUGCUUCACUCAGCCCCUUCCUGGAGGCUGUGAGUGCUGGUUUGGGCCAGGGAGGCUGACUUGGACCAAGAAAAGAGAUUUGCUGCAUGGAGUAACUCAGGUAUCUUGUCGUCAGCCACAGCCUGAUUUCAGGGAAAACUUCCCCAGAUCUGGCCCAGGCCUGUCCCUUGUAGGUUCCUGGCAGGAGGGACCAAGCCUGACUGGUACCACACGGAGCACCUGGAGCGUAACAAGGGAUAAGUAAUAAUAAUAACUGUCCACUAACCACAUCAAUGUUUUAAGUAUCUCGCGUGCAACAAAAGCUGCUCUGGGUGGCUGGAGCUUUGAAUGUUGUGAUUUGCUCUUUGGAGUUCACGUUAGGGGAGAAAGUGUUCCAGUGAGCCUGCAGAUCCUGGGCUGUGGCUUUCCCUUCCUCUGGGAGCAGGAAUCGUCUGGAAUUGUUCCUGUUGGAGUAACGUGAGCUGGCCAGAGGUUUUAUAUUCAGAUUGGUACCAGCAGCAACAACCUUGAAGAGUUGCAUAGAAAAUCAAACAUGGAUACAUGUCUUAAAUAAUUUCGUGCUUGGUACAGCAAUUUGCUGAUCAGUAAAGUUGCAGCUCCUACUCUACCUUUUUUCUACUAAGAAAAUCCAUAUUAAAAAUGUUCAUCUUACUUGAAAGGACAUGUCUGGAUGUUCUGGUGGUGCUUCUUGAGGACUGUAAGCUGGCAGAGAGGUCUGGAAGUCUCAUCUGGCAUGGAAGUUUGUCUUGGAAGACACUAAAAGACUUGGUCCUCAUCAGUGAAAGGUGUUUGUGUCUCCCAUGAAGUUCUGGCCACACAGGCAGCCCAAAUGUAGGCUCUGUUAAACUCUGGGUCCAAAGAGCUUCUCCCUUUUUUCCAAGGCACGUAUUUCUCCUCUUGAUCAAAAUGCCACCUCUUAGUGACCUCCUGGGUCUGCAAGUUCUGUAGAAAACCUCACUGAGCCCUGCAGCAAACCAGGUGUGAAUGUCAGCUUUAAAGAGAGGAAUGAGCUCAGGCUCAGAGGGAAACACUCCUGAUGGAGCAGAGGAGAAUGAACUCCUUUGGCAGAGUCCUGGGAGACGCCCAUGCUCAGCGAGAGGAGGGAGCUCGGGGAGAAUCAAUCUGCUGAGGAGGAGAGGGCAAUUCUGCUUUCUGUCCAAGAUUAAUAGCUCAGUAACCUCGGUGGGAAGCCUGACAGGUACAACCACAGCAGCAGGAAACUCCAGCACAGGCACUGUGCUUUUGAGCAUUAUUCUCUCAUCCCUCAGCCUUCCCAAGCAGAGCCUCCUGCCUUACAAACUGGAGUUGCUGUGCUUGGAGUGAGAUCCAGCGCUGGAUCCAGCCCCAGCCACCCCCACACCAACCCCUCCAGCCCCACAGCUUUUGCUGGGAGUGGUAGCAGGUCCUCAGACUGCAAAUCCUCCAAGGCAGAAUGCCAGCUGUGCUUUUGGGUAACAGACUCAGAAGCACCAAAGUGACUUAGAUGCUGAAGUCCCCAGCAAUCCUGACUGCUGUGCAUUCUCUAAAUUGCUUUGACUUUCAGAAAGACUGGGGCUAUUCAGAUGUUUAUUCCCCUUCUAAAAACAUUCCUACUGGUGUUUAACAAAUAUAGUGUAUUGCCUCUUUGGGAUGUUGGAGUGAGUUAACAGCCCAGUUCCCUCGAGUCAGGCAGAGGAGAACUGAAGACCCAUCCCUUGCUGGCAGAAAAUGUGAAACUUCCUUGUUCAAAUGACUGUUUCCUAUUUUAAUUUUGUUUUACUCCUCACCCUUCUAACACUUUUAAUUUGGUUGGGGAAGAGAGGAGAAUGGCAUUUUCUUUCCCACUUAUUGUAGAAAAUGGGGGAUGGAGACCAGCUUUCUUGAACUCUUAUAUUCAAAAUAGCUAUAAAUAAUUAGUUACAGGGACCUAGCUUUCCCCUCCUUUUAAGGGCUAAUUUAAGUUCUUUAUCAAAAUGAUUUAAAAUGCCUUUCCCAGUGGGAAACUAUAUUUCAGAGCUUUUAUUUAUUAGACUUCUCAAAAAGUGUGUUUUUAAUGCACAUCCUGACUUUGUGCCAAAACUCUCCACUGUAACAUUGGGAUUGGAGCAACCCUUUGUAUAGGGAGUUAUAUUUAUUGGAUUUUUACAUAUUGAUACAGAGCAAUUAAUCUAAAUAAAUCAUACACAGAAUUGGCACAUAAAUCUCCCAGUCUUCACUGCCCACAGUAGUAUAUUAUUGUCCUGACAACCUUCCCUCAAACACAGAAAAACUUUCCUCUUGCUCUCUUGCUGUAUUUUUUUUACUUAGGUCUUCUAAAGUGUCAAUGAUUUUCUGGGGCUGAGUAGCUUGGUUGUUGUUGCUGUGAGCUGUAGUUUGGGUUGUAGAUUUUGUUUUAUGAUGUUGGGGCAGGACAACAUCACUGCAUUUUAAAGGAGGACAAAGCCUCAAACUCUGCAAGAUGUGUGAGGAUCAUGACAUGGUAAGCAAAGGCAGAUUUCAUGGUAGAUGGUUGAAUAUCUAAAUAUUUUAGCAUUAUGAGCCCGUUAUGGCACUGAGAGGAGGUUUCUUUCUGUUGGUUUAAAAGGUGCAGUGUCUCUUGUGCUGGAUGGCUGCUUUGAGGAGUGCAGUUUCCUUCAGCAGUUUCAGGGCUCCCAAACUAAGUGUGUGUGUUUGUAGGCUGGACUCCUCCUUUCUGGGACACCCUCUGCCCCCUCCCAAAUUGUUUCCUGCUUUCUGAGCAGAAGCUGCAUAUGAGACAGCCUGGCCUCAUUUUUUAAGGAAAUACAAAACCAUAAGCCAGGUCAUGGAUGGUACAAUUCAGUGUGACCCUCUGGCAGUUCACACCAGUGGAAGAUCUGCCGGGCUGUCUUUUGAAUCCCUGCCAUCACAAAUCCCAGGGAUGUGACAGCCUUCUCAAAAAACUCCAGUUCAGUCUUUCCCAGUGAAGGGUUAAGAGCUGUGGCUUUCCAAAGGGAUUCUGUAGUACUGGGCCCAUCACUCCAGAAGGCUCUGGUCUUUCUGACAAAGGGGCUCUGACAUCCAGGCAGUACUCUUGAAAGUUCAGAGUUUGGAAAGUCAGAGCUCUGUAAGAAAUCAUUACAAUAAAAGGUAGAACAGAUUCCAGCAAGUGUUCAAUCACCCAGCGUGGUGCCACUUAGAGGCAGAAGACCUUAAAACAGCCAGCAAGAUGCCUGCAGAAGAAGCCUCUGUGCCAGCUCUGGCACUCUGUGCCUGUCAUUCCACUCUGUGCCUGUCAUUCCACGCCUUUCAUCCCAGUUCCAUAAUACAGAUGAGAUUUCAGUGACUAGUCCUGGAUUCUGCAUUAAACCACUUUAACAUGUUUGUAGACCUGAGGAACUCGGCAAAUACUAUGAAGGAAAUGCCCUGAGCUUCAUCUUUCUGCUUUGAACUGAGCACAGUGAACUUUGCCUGGUUGCUGAGCUGACACGUGAACAACCCAUUUGCAAUUCAUAGAGAGAGCUCGAGCACAAGGGGGCCUGAUCCUGCUUUUACCAAAGCCAAAGGAAAUCCUACUGCUGACUGCAGCAAAACCAGCAGCAAAAUCAUAACGACUAUUUAAAAUGAUAUUUCACAAGUACAGUAAUGUGACAAUCAUGAUAAAGUGGUGGUUUUUCCAGAGGCACCAUCUGAAUUAAUAGGUCUUUCCAACUAGCUCUCCUUGGAAUGGGUUGCAAGAGGCAGAUGCAGACAAGGGAAAAAAAAAGACUUUUUGCUCUUUUUGCUUCAGGUGUAUAUAAAGCUUUACAGCUUCACUUCCAAAAGGACUCUCCAGGAGUGAGCUUCCCAAGUUACAUGCCUCAUUCCCUCCUCCCAGAAGUGCACCCUAAAUAAUUUGGGUCCCGACUAUUAGAAAUCAUCAUGUGAAGCCCACUGAAUGGACAGGAAGAUUUUCAGUGAUUCAUCUGUUUUCAAUUACGCCCCUAAGAGCACUCCUGCCCUUUCUUCCUGCUUGUAAUAGCUGGAGAAGUCAUUAGAUCUGCUGGGGCUCUGGAUGGUCUGCCACCAAUUUCUGGAGACUUGGAUCAAUGCUCUUUGACUCAGUUUCUCUGUCUGACCUUUAAUAUGGGCAAGGAGUCUCCAGGGUAUGGAAGGUUUUCACCUGAGAUGGAAGCUGCUGCUCCCUGGCGACACCACAACUGCUGUCAGUGAUGGUAGAGCUGAACCUGCAGAUGUGAAAUACAGCUGGCAUUUCUGAUUUCCAUGUCAUCCCAACUCCAGGUAAGGAAAUAGAGCUAAUUUUGGGACAAGCCCACCACAUUCAGUCUUCUUAACCUUCAGUCUGGAUAACUGCAAAGAUGAACAGAAGAAUUUUAUGCAUAACAUUUUAACUUGGCUUGAUGUGCUUCCCAGUAGCAUGUAAAUAAACUGCCUGAUUCGGAGCACUCUGUUCCUGACAUAUAACCCACUGCUCAUUUAGCAGAUUUAAUUUUGCAGGCUUUGUGCAUUUUUUAUGUGACAAUGAUGAUGUGAGGAGGCAUGUCUUUAUCACAGAAAGCCAACAGCACAGACUCUUUUUUUACAAAAGGCCCUUCUUGCUGCUCCUUGGGAGCAGGAGCCCAAGAUAAUUCUAGCACAGGGUGAGCCAUCUGUGACAUGGGGCAGCUUUACUUGCAAACUUUAUAACUUUUAAUUGCUGCUGUAUUUCCUGGCACUGUCAAGUAAUAAUGUCAGUGGAUACCAAACCUUAAGUACAUAGGACUCAAUUAUGAUCCUGCAGAACACAGAGGCUGCUCAAAUCCAGUCCAGACUGUGAACUCACAAUCUGCUGUUUACUUAAAGUAUAGAGAAAGCACUUGACCUCUUCUCAGUGGCAUCCAUGUGGAAACACUCGACAAUAGAGGCCUUCCUUGGUUUUCUUAGGAAUCACAUUUCAACAUUUUUAUCUCCUCUAAUUAAGGUCAAUGGUCACACACUCCCACUUCUCUCCUCACCCCACUCUUCCAAAAUUGCCCUUACCCAGCUCCAGUUACCCUGGAUGAAACAAACUGGGCCCAAUUUGUGCUCGCACAGUUCCAGGGGGAAUGAGGAGAGUCCUGGAGAUUUGAGGCUGUGCUGAGCCCAGAGCUGUGUCUGAGCUCUGGUGCUCACGUGCCCGUCCACCACGACGAGCAGCAGAGCCUGAUAGCCAGAAGCAAACAGUAGGCGGGGGGUAGGAUUGCUGUGAAUGCAAUUCCACUAUGAGAACAUCUCCUAACCCGCGGCACAUGUUCCCACCCGGUGGGGAAGGUGUGAGCGAGCUCUGAAGGAGGACGGCGAGAGCGAAUCUCAUCUCCCUUUGCAACGCUGCAAGUGCUAAUUGCAGGCGGGGAGGAAGGGUGUAGCUGGUAGACGUCUCAAGCCUGAGGAGCACAGCACCAGGACUCCUGUUGUCGUUGUGGAAGGAACCCAGGAGUGCUUCACAUCCCAGCAUCCCUGGCAGGAUUCACUUCGGCACUGCUGUGCUUUGUCUGCAGCCCUGGCUGCCUCGCCUUGAAAACCCUCAGCAUUCUCAGCAGGGCAUUUCCCAGGAAUGAGAAUGAUCCAGCCAAGGCCAUCGUGUCAGGAUGCAAAGGGUACCUGCUAGCCCACCUCAAGGCUGAAAGAGCACAUCCCACCAAAUCAGGGGCUUGUGGGGACUGGAUUUAUCAUUAGAAAACCCCAGCACCUUUUCAGAGCAGUAUACAUCCUGCUUAGUAAUUACCUUUCCAUACUAAAAAGAUUAUUUCUUUUCAUUAUUUUUGUUGUGUAGGUGGCAGCUAUGAAUGGUUAACAGUGGAAGGCAGAAGUUGGUGAAAUAAAACUCUGUGCUUCUAGAAGUCAUUUCACAUAUGUAAAAACAAAAGUGGGCUAGCCAGCUGCAGACCUUGGCAUUACUUAGGCUUGUGCCUGAUGCAUUGCACCCUUUCCCUUUAAACUGACUUGCUCUCAUUUCUCACACAGAGCAGAAUAUCACUUCCAGAAAAGAAAAGAGCUAAUGCUGUCCUUUUCCUUUUAUAUAAAAAAAAGAAAGAAAACCAGAACAAAACUAACAGAGUUGUGCCCUAAGUGAGAUUGUCUUGACCCUUUGCAAAGCCAGAUCCUCAGAGCCUCUGUCAGCACACGCUUCCAGCAUAACUCUGCUCAUGCUGAGCUCAGCCGUGGGUGCAGGAUCAGGGCACCUGUUCUCUGUAGAGAAUAACUACCCAAAAACAUGAUUUUUUUUUUCUCCCUCUGUACUGUUUUUUUUUAAGCUGAAAAAUGUGUGUUUUGUUCUAAGAGAGGAGUAGGGCAGGCUGUGGUGCUGAGCAGCGCCAUGGGUUCCUCACCCCAGCGCUGUGGGGACUGCAUCCAUAGUUUCCAGGCAUCAGGGAGAUGUGUUAGAGCCAUCCAACAUCCCAGAGAGAUGGAUUUUUCAUGUAAAAGUGGAAAGCUAUUAGCUCCCAAAAUGUUCUCUUGGCAGCAGUAGGGCAGUAAGUGCUGCUACAGGGAAGGCAAGUGCUGGGCCAGCAUAGUCCUACAGAAGGUUUUGUGUUUUCAUAUAUUGAAGAAUAAUGUAAUAAAAACCAAGGACUUUUAUUCCUGAAAGAGCUCAGUCACUCAUGCCACAAGGAAGAUUACGUUUAAUUAAAUAUUGAACCCCUUUAUAUAUCUGUACCAGGCUCUGAAUCACACUCCCUCUCCUUACAGCCAGAGGACAUUCCCACAUCUUCAAAGAUUUUACAAAUGAAGUUAGUUGAGAGUUUCAUUUCCCCUGGAACUGAAAUUGAGCUACUUUGGAGAUAGAAACCAGCAACUCUUGAAAAUCCCUCUUUCAGCAGAGCAGGCCAGGAAGAGAAAAAAUAUACAGUAUCCCAGAAGUGAGCCACAGGAUGACUUUUUAAUAGCAGAAAAACUAUAUUAUUAUUUAAUAACAGCUUUGCUGUGUUGGGGGGAAGGUUACACCUCUUCCACUGAGUCCUUGCACUUCAGUUACUCCUUGUUUGAUUCCUGCAACACUUUCCUGACUCCUUUUUGGAGAAAUUUUCAUAUUCCUGCUAAAAUUUAGUCACUGGGGACUGCUUAGACAUUCUCAGACCCCCCUCCUUGGAUUUAAACUCCAUCUUUUUUGCGAGUGUGCUGUGAGUUUUCUUCAUUGCUGGGAUAUGUGUUAUCUUGCUCAAUUGCAUUUAAUUUGGUCUCAAUUUGCAUAUUCGCGUCCUGGGCUGAAUCCGUCAAGAUUUUCCCAUGACACAUUUUGCCUCUGCUGUUCCCAUGACACAUGUUCCUUCUGCUGUGGCAAGAUCUACUCUGUGGAUUCAUCUUUUCUCCUGAGAAAAGUGAGGCUGUUUCUCCGAGGUUCAGGUUCUCACCGUUCGGAUUUUCCGUGCCUUCCCCGGAUCUGCGGCGAUGUCAGUUCACACACGAUCUUCCUCAGUUCAGCAGGGAUGAAACUCAGAACCCUUUCUCACUUCAGUCUCUCAGCUGGCUUUUGAGCAAAAGCCUGUGGUUUGUGCCCUGUCAUCUGGUUUGCUGUUGGGUGUUUGGGGCUUGCUUGAAGCCAUUUCUGCAAUCAAAAGAACUCGGUUUUAAAUACCAGCCAAAGGCUGGGCACGUGUGUGCAGCACUAGGACCCCUUUUCAAAGAGCACCUUUGGGUGAAUCACUUGACCUGGCUUUGCCUCAGUUCUCCAUGUAGAACAGAGGAAAAUAAUAUUAAUGCAAGUCUAACUUUCUUCAGAUACUGCGAGGCUCAGUGCACGACCAGAGGUGAUGUUCUCGGGUAUUACAGUAAUAGGGGUCACAGGAGCUAGAUGGAAAAGUAAAGCAGAAGCUAGUUAAGACUUUCUCAGCUGCAAAGGAUUAGUGUUCAUUUUAAAAUCUCUGGCUCUUGGCAAAUUGGGACACUUACUAACCUGUAGCUUAGGAAAAAAGAAAAAAAAAAAAAAAGCCAAAGCAGCUGAAACAAGGGUGUUAGCAAGUCUGGCAGCACAGCAGCACAGUGCACCUUAUCUCUAUCCUGGUGGAAAAUCAAAGGCACAUUUCCAGCUGUGCCCGUGAGCACUGUUUGGUCACUGAACAAAGCAACUGGCACCUCGUAUCCAACCUACAGAAUGAUCACAGCCUGCUUCAGGUGCACAAACAAGUGCAGAAAUGAGCUCCAUGCACAGAACUCAUUGUUAUUCAAUCAAGCCUUUAAUUGUAAAUGUUUUAAGCAAGGAAUUCUCUGUUUUAUGAAAGUGUGCUCAGCAUUACUCCGCCGCAGACAUCUGUCAUUCAGCAGGCGCCACCCAAUAAAAGUGCUUAAAAUGUUCUGUUCCUCAAUUAAAAUAUAAACCAGAGCUGUUUAA